CACAACGUGCGCACGCUGAGCACGCCGCUCACCUCCACUCUCUCAGCUUUCCUCUCUCUGUCGGCAUCACAGUUCUCUUCUAGUCGCUCUUCUACUCCACCAAAGCAGCACAACAACGAGUAGCAUGCCUCCCCGCCCUCUCCGCUCGAUCUCUCCCUCCUGUCUUUCUUCUCUAGCAGCUCUCACGGAUCCUCUCUCUCCCUGAUCUUCUUCUGUUCUUUCUUCAUCCAUCGCAAGAACAAGUCGCUUCUCUCGGCCAACAAGCAAAUACUAGCAGCUGCAACUCCUGUCGCCAUCUCGCUGCCCUUUCUCUCUCCGGCAGACCAUGCAGGAAGCAAAGCAGAGCUCCCUGCUCUCUGCUAGCAGCAGCAAGAAGCCGCCACGCCUUUCCGGGCCGCCGACCUCCGCCGUCGUGCGUCGCGGACCGGCUCCUUCGUCUCUCCUCCGUCCAGUUUGAAGCCACGAGUAGCACCAACAGCGCCGCCGACGCCGACGCCGGCCACAAGUCGGAGGAGCUGCCGGGUCGGAAGCUGCAACGCCGCUGCGCCAACCACGACGACGACCACCGCGAGCUCGAGGAUGCCCAUGCCGCCGGCGCCGACCCGUUGAACCGCAAGCGAUCCGCGAGCCUGCCCGCGUCACCUCGCCACGGCCACAACCCCUUCUUGCGCCGACCUUGCCGUCCUCGAACCCCACGAUGACGGGACGUUCAUGACCGCGCCAGACGCCGAGUGAGACGCUGAUCUAAUACUCUGAGAAUAUGAACAAUCGUUCGAAGAUGAGCCGUCUCAGUUCCUUGCCGAAGGAUGCGGGUUUUCGACGUUGGUUCUUUCUAGAACUAACUCCCAGUCAGUUGCCUGUGGGAAUGGUGAGGCACACUACUGUAGGAUUGAAGUCCUAUAUUUUCUGUUUGCUUCUGCUGCAGAUUAUUAGCUCUGAUUAAAUUUUAAUAUUACUAACAUGUUUUUGAGUGCAGUUGUGAUACCGGUGCUGUUGUGCGUACUUACGGACUGAUCAUGGGACAAGUACAGUAAGGCACAACGGAAACCCGGGUAUUUGUACGCCUGAGGGCCCACAUUGCCCGAGCACGACGAGCUGCCGCCGUCGGCCGCCGGAGUCGGAGAAGAUGAAGGAUGAUGUUGGGUUCAACAUUUUUAAUAUAUUGAUUCAACAUUUUCGAAACACUAGUUCAACAUUUCCCAAUUGUUGAAUCAACAUUUUCAAAAUAUUGGUUCAAUAUUUUUGAAAAAUUGGUUCAAUAUUUUUUUAAAUAAAUAGACUUUAGUGGGCUUUAUAGGUAAUUUGCUUAACUAUCUUCCACAAGAUCUUGUAUAGCACCCCCCUCACUAGGGUGGGAGAUGCCGCAGGCCGUGAAGACUAUAUAUCGCCCGCGCUUUAAAUCUAGUUGCCAUCGCCUGAAGGGAAUCGUGAGGCGUGAUUUCGGCCCACGAAGAGAAGUCUAUUGGCUUAUAGAAGAGCGACAACAUAUUUAAUAAUAUAUUGAUAACAAUUCAUCCCACAAUUUUAUAGAAAGACGGGCAGAAGGCAGCCACUCGUGGAAGACAUGUAAGUCUGUAACAAAGUCUUGAAGUCUUAGACGUGUUUAUUUGUUCUUUCCUUUUUCUAUUUUCAUUUAUCUUUCCUUUCUAAUUCUUUGUCUAUUUAUUUAUUCCUUGUUUAUUUUUUCUUGUUAAUUUUUUUUCUUGCAACGACUAGACUAGUUGAUUAUUUUGUAUUUUCUUGUCUUUUUAUCUUUUGUAUUUUUAUUUUUUAUUUUCUAUUUUCUAUUUUUAUAAUCCUUGUUUAUCAUUGCAGUUUAAAAUAAGGAAAUAAUUCUUAACCAAA